CACCUCUAGCAUUAUCAGUAUUAGAGGCACUGCCUGCCCAGUGACACUAGUUAAACGGCCGCGGUAUCCUGACCGUGCAAAGGUAGCAUAAUCAUUUGUUCCUUAAUUAGGGACUUGUAUGAAAGGCCCCACGAGGGUUUAACUGUCUCUUACUUUCAAUCAGUGAAAUUGACCUUCCCGUGAAGAGGCGGGAAUAUUAAAAUAAGACGAGAAGACCCUAUGGAGCUUUAAUUAAAUUGUCCAACAAAACUUAAACUUAACCCAACAGGACUAACAAUACUUCAACUGGACAAUAAAUUUUGGUUGGGGUGACCUCGGAGUAUAAUUUAACCUCCAAGACAUUAAACUAAGACUUAUCCGUCAAAGUGAUAUUAUUAUUGAUCCAAUCUUAUUGAUCAACGGAACAAGUUACCCUAGGGAUAACAGCGCAAUCCUAUUUAAGAGUCCAUAUCGACAAUAGGGUUUACGACCUCGAUGUUGGAUCAGGACACCCCAAUGGUGUAGCAGCUAUUAAA
rnacentral:rRNA from 1 species